rnacentral:sRNA from 22 species
CCAUCCCGGCUGAUGGAACGACCAUCGUCAAAUGACCACUGGCAGCUACCCUGGCGUGGUGCGCCGUCCCCAGGGAGGGCGCAAAGCCGACAGCCGUCGCACUCCAGGGAGCACAUCCAUG